AGUCUCUCUUUCGGCUGGCUGAGGAUCAAGGUAUAGGACUAUCAGCUCCGUCUCUGGUGCCAGGAGCUGCCGCAUCCUUCCAGGUCACAGUGGGAGCCUCCACUACUCAAAGACACCAUGGACAACAAAUGUCAACAAUUAGGCAGUGCCGGCAACAGAAACUCAUGUACAGAACGAGGCACAGCCGUCAAGAGUGGCCAAUUGUUCCAGAAUGUUCGACACUGGACUCUUAGCUGAUGGGGCCUACCAAGACAGGACAAACUAGAUUUGUCCCUGAGCUGUGUUUUAUGUCUCUAUACUUAGAGAAGUUAUCAUCGGUAUGUGUAAUCAUUACUUUUCUUUAAAAAGA
rnacentral:lncRNA from 1 species